UCAGCGGAAAGUGAAUGUACUUACUAGAGAGUACUGUGAUGACAUCAAGAGGAAGAGCAAGCCCAUUAUUUUGUCACACCAUAUGUUACCUGGUUUACAGCAAGGGCAGGAGAAGAUGUCAAAAAGUGAUCCAUCGUCCUCCAUUUUUAUGGAAGAUGAUGAGGCGGAAGUGAAUUUGAAGGUAAAGAAAGCUUACUGUCCUCCAAAG